CCUACGGGUGGCUGCAGUGGGGAAUAUUGGACAAUGGGCGAAAGCCUGAUCCAGCCAUGCCGCGUGUGUGAAGAAGGCCUUCGGGUUGUAAAGCACUUUCAGUGGGGAAGAAAGCCUUGGGGCUAAUACCCUCGAGGAAGGACAUCACCCACAGAAGAAGCACCGGCUAACUCCGUGCCAGCAGCCGCGGUAAUACGGAGGGUGUGAGCGUUAAUCGGAAUUACUGGGCGUAAAGCGCGCGUAGGCGGUCUGAUAAGCCGGUUGUGAAAGCCCCGGGCUCAACCUGGGAACGGCAUCCGGAACUGUCAGGCUAGAGUGCAGGAGAGGAAGGUAGAAUUCCCGGUGUAGCGGUGAAAUGCGUAGAGAUCGGGAGGAAUACCAGUGGCGAAGGCGGCCUUCUGGACUGACACUGACGCUGAGGUGCGAAAGCGUGGGUAGCAAACAGGAUUAGAUACCCGUGUAGUC
rnacentral:rRNA from 1 species